UUAUUUGUUAUUACACUCUAAGAAGAAAUGUGUAUAAAAAUGAUAUGAUGUAUAACAUUCUAGUUUACACAUUUUGUGUCAAUAUUACAUAAAAAUGUGUUGGAAGACUUCAAUUGUUUUAUACAAAUUAUGUGUAGUUUUAAAAUUAUUGUUUGUAUUUGUUCACAGCAUCAACACAAUCUGUGCAGCCAAGAAUAGCUAUAAUGUGUUAAUAUUACACAUUUACACAUCUUUCACGAGAUCAUGUGCCCAUAUAAUCUUAGCGUAAGUGGUAAACAGAUUUGGCUUGCUGUCUGCUAUAGAGGGGCUCAGAAAGGAUAUCCUACUUGAGCUCUGAUUGCCCUCAAUAACAGGCAAAAAAUAGUACAAAAGGAGGAGAAGAGGAGGAGGAGGAGGAGGGAUGCCGAAAGAACUAACAACAGGAAGAGAGGUGAAGACCAGACCUCCAAAACCAAGAUCAUUCAAGACCAGAGGUGUGAUCGAGACCAGACCUUCCAAGACCAAAACAAGACCAUUCAAUCAAGAUAAUUCAUUAAUAUUGUGACUAUUAGUGAUAUUAGUAACACCUGCUGUUAACAAACAGAAUAACUGGAAGAACAGAAAAAACAGUAGAAACCCAAGGACAAGAUAAAAUACAUUAAAUGCCAACCCAACACUUCAUCAUAACCUUUCAAUUAAACUUGCGUCGUCAACCAUUACUCCUUCCAGGACAGCCAGGAACCUUGGAGUGGUGAUGGAUGAUUUUUUAAGCUUCCCAGAUCACGACCAUGUCCUGCAGAUUUGCCAUGUACAACAUCAAGAAGAUUAGUUUCCUAUCGGAACAUUCCACACAAAUUCUUGUCCAAGCUCUUGUUAUAUCCAGACUGGACUAUUGUAAUGCUCUCUUGGCUGGCCUUCCAGCAUGCACUGUCAAGCCUCUACAACUGAUCCAGAAUGCUGCAGCAAGACUGGUCUUUAACGAACCGAAGAAAGCGUACGUCACUCCUCUCUUCAUCAGUCUGCAUUGGCUGCCAGUAGCUGCUCCUAUCCAGUUCAAGGCUCUGAUGUUUGCCUACAGAACGACCGUUGCCUCUGCACCGCUAUACCUUAACUCACUACUUCAGACUUAUGCGCCCUCCAGAAACUUGCAUUCUGCAAGUGAACGGCGCCUUGUGGUGCCAUCACAAAGGGGCACAAAAUCACUCUCGCGGACCUUCUCCGUGUCUGUUCCUGGCUGGUGGAAUGACCUGCCACGCUUUAUCUGAGAAGCUGAGUCCUUGGGCAUUUUAAAAAAAAACUGUCUUUUUCAUCAACAUUUGACCCAGUAAUAGUAGCACUUACUUUUUAUUUAUCUUUCUUGUCUUUGAUUUCUACUCUUUGUCCAUCUAUGUAUGUAUUUUUUUUUAAAAACAAAUCCUUGCUACAAGCACUUUACUGAUUAAACUGUGACUUCACACAGUA